CCUACGGGAGGCAGCAGUAGGGAAUCUUCCACAAUGGGCGAAAGCCUGAUGGAGCAACGCCGAGUGGGUGAAGAAGGUCUUCGGAUCGUACAACCCUGUUGUUAGAGAAGAAAGUGCGUGAGAGUAACUGUUCACGUUUCGACGGUAUCUAACCAGAAAGCCACGGCUAACUACGUGCCAGCAGCCGCGGUAAUACGUAGGUGGCAAGCGUUAUCCGGAUUUAUUGGGCGUAAAGGGAACGCAGGCGGUCUUUUAAGUCUGAUGUGAAAGCCUUCGGCUUAACCGGAGUAGUGCAUUGGAAACUGGGAGACUUGAGUGCAUAAGAGGAGAGUGGAACUCCAUGUGUAGCGGUUAAAUGCGUAGAUAUAUGGAAGAACACCAGUGGCGAAAGCGGCUCUCUGGUCUGUAACUGACGCUGAGGUUCGAAAUCGUGGGUAGCAAACAGGAUUAGAUACCCCAGUAGUC
rnacentral:rRNA from 1 species